rnacentral:SRP_RNA from 1 species
CUUUGUCUGAGUGAUGCAUGUGCCAAUCGAGUCAGGACAGAAAUGUAGCAGCUACAGUAUCAUUGUAUCAUGUCAGACAUUUUCA